rnacentral:misc_RNA from 1 species
UACUGGAAUUACAGGCACCAGGUCAUGAUUAUUCCUUAAUUUUCAAUGUUAUGGCUAAAUUUGUCUAAAAUUUUGAUAUAAUUAGCAAUUUGAUCUUCAUUUAUUUUGUUAAUAGUUCUUGGUUUCAUUUGAAUGAUCAAUUCUAUGUAAUUUUUCUAAUAUGAUUUUUUUUUCCAAGUUCUCUUUGGAGCUUAGAUUAGAUGAUGGAUAAAUAAAUGGAUUAUUACCGUCCUUUCUCUUUUUGGCUACCGGGAAGUGUGAAGACGAACAGAUAGAACGGAAUUUUUAAUUUCAUUGUCUGACGUAAACGCAUCUGUGCAUUGAGUUGAGUUG